rnacentral:rRNA from 1 species
CAGGCUUAACACAUGCAAGUCGAGGGGCAGCAUGGUCUUAGCUUGCUAAGGCCGAUGGCGACCGGCGCACGGGUGAGUAACACGUAUCCAACCUGCCGUCUACUCUUGGACAGCCUUCUGAAAGGAAGAUUAAUACAAGAUGGCAUCAUGAGUCCGCAUGUUCACAUGAUUAAAGGUAUUCCGGUAGACGAUGGGGAUGCGUUCCAUUAGAUAGUAGGCGGGGUAACGGCCCACCUAGUCUUCGAUGGAUAGGGGUUCUGAGAGGAAGGUCCCCCACAUUGGAACUGAGACACGGUCCAAACUCCUACGGGAGGCAGCAGUGAGGAAUAUUGGUCAAUGGGCGAGAGCCUGAACCAGCCAAGUAGCGUGAAGGAUGACUGCCCUAUGGGUUGUAAACUUCUUUUAUAAAGGAAUAAAGUCGGGUAUGGAUACCCGUUUGCAUGUACUUUAUGAAUAAGGAUCGGCUAACUCCGUGCCAGCAGCCGCGGUAAUACGGAGGAUCCGAGCGUUAUCCGGAUUUAUUGGGUUUAAAGGGAGCGUAGAUGGAUGUUUAAGUCAGUUGUGAAAGUUUGCGGCUCAACCGUAAAAUUGCAGUUGAUACUGGAUAUCUUGAGUGCAGUUGAGGCAGGCGGAAUUCGUGGUGUAGCGGUGAAAUGCUUAGAUAUCACGAAGAACUCCGAUUGCGAAGGCAGCCUGCUAAGCUGCAACUGACAUUGAGGCUCGAAAGUGUGGGUAUCAAACAGGAUUAGAUACCCUGGUAGUCCACACGGUAAACGAUGAAUACUCGCUGUUUGCGAUAUACUGCAAGCGGCCAAGCGAAAGCGUUAAGUAUUCCACCUGGGGAGUACGCCGGCAACGGCGAAACUCAAAGGAAUUGACGGGGGCCCGCACAAGCGGAGGAACAUGUGGUUUAAUUCGAUGAUACGCGAGGAACCUUACCCGGGCUUAAAUUGCAGAUGAAUUACGGUGAAAGCCGUAAGCCGCAAGGCAUCUGUGAAGGUGCUGCAUGGUUGUCGUCAGCUCGUGCCGUGAGGUGUCGGCUUAAGUGCCAUAACGAGCGCAACCCUUGUUGUCAGUUACUAACAGGUUCCGCUGAGGACUCUGACAAGACUGCCAUCGUAAGAUGUGAGGAAGGUGGGGAUGACGUCAAAUCAGCACGGCCCUUACGUCCGGGGCUACACACGUGUUACAAUGGGGGGUACAGAGGGCCGCUACCACGCGAGUGGAUGCCAAUCCCCAAAACCUCUCUCAGUUCGGACUGGAGUCUGCAACCCGACUCCACGAAGCUGGAUUCGCUAGUAAUCGCGCAUCAGCCACGGCGCGGUGAAUACGUUCCCGGGCCUUGUACACACCGCCCGUCAAGCCAUGGGAGCCGGGGGUACCUGAAGUGCGUAACCGCGAGGAGCGCCCUAGGGUAAAACUGGUGACUGGGGCUAAGUC